rnacentral:rRNA from 1 species
GAGCAUGGCUCAGGAUGAACGCUGGCGGCGUGCCUAAUACAUGCAAGUCGAACGCGAGCACUUGUGCUCGAGUGGCGAACGGGUGAGUAAUACAUAAGUAACCUGCCCUAGACAGGGGGAUAACUAUUGGAAACGAUAGCUAAGACCGCAUAGGUACGGACACUGCAUGGUGACCGUAUUAAAAGUGCCUCAAAGCACUGGUAGAGGAUGGACUUAUGGCGCAUUAG